rnacentral:rRNA from 1 species
GUCUGACCUGCCCUAUGAAUUUAAAAGUUUAAAUGGCUGCGGUAUUUUGACCGUGCAAAGGUAGCAUAAUAAUUAGUUUCUUAAUUGGGAACUGGAAUGAAAGGUCGAACGAGAAAAAGACUGUCUCAAUUUAAUUUAAAUUAAAAUUUUAUUUUUAAGUAAAAAAGCUUAAAUGUUUUUAAAAGACGAGAAGACCCUAUAGAGUUUUAUAAAUAUUUGGUUAUUUAGAAAUUAAAGAAUAAUUAAUUUAAAUAAUUAGAUUUUUAUUUGAUUGGGGCGAUUAAAAAAUUUAAAGAACUUUUUUUAAAUUAUACCAUUAAUAUAUGAUUAAGUGAUCCAUUUAUAAUGAUUAUAAGAUUAAAUUACCUUAGGGAUAACAGCGUAAUUUUUUUUGAGAGUUCUUAUCGAAAAAAAAGUUUGCGACCUCGAUGUUGGAUUAAAAUAAACUUUUGGUGCAGAGACUGAAAGAGUUAGGUCUGUUCGACCUUUAAAAUUUUACAUGAUCUGAGUUUAAACCGGUGUGAGCCAGGUUGGUUUCUAUCUUUAAAAAUAUUAAAAUAUUUUAGUACGAAAGGAUCAAGUAUUUGUAAUAAUUUAUUAUAUAAAGAAUAUUAUUAAUUUGAUUACUUUGGCAGAUUAGUGCUUUAGAUUUAGAAUUUAAAUAAGUAUUAUUAAAGUAGUACAAGUAAUAAUUUUAAUUAAGGAUAUUUUAUUAAAUUUAAUUUCUAGUUUAAUUUUAAUUAUUUGUGUUUUGGUUGGAGUUGCG